UACGUAGGGUGCGAGCGUUGUCCGGAAUUACUGGGCGUAAAGGGAGCGUAGGCGGACAUUUAAGUCAGUGGUGAAAUCCCGGGGCUCAACCUCGGAAUUGCCUUUGAUACUGGGUGUCUUGAGUAUGAGAGAGGUGUGUGGAACUCCGAGUGUAGAGGUGAAAUUCGUAGAUAUUCGGAAGAACACCAGUGGCGAAGGCGACACACUGGCUCAUUACUGACGCUGAGGCUCGAAAGCGUGGGGAGCAAACAGGAUUAGAUACCCCCGUA
rnacentral:rRNA from 1 species